ACUCUAAGCGGUGGAUCACUCGGCUCAUGGGUCGAUGAAGAACGCAGCAAACUGUGCGUCAUCGUGUGAACUGCAGGACACAUGAACAUCGACAUUUUGAACGCAUAUCGCAGUCCAUGCUGUUAUGUACUUUAAUUAAUUUUAUAGUGCUGCUUGGACUACAUAUGGUUGAGGGUUGUAAGACUAUGCUAAUUAAGUUGCUUAUAAAUUUUUAUAAGCAUAUGGUAUAUUAUUGGAUAAAUAUAAUAAUUUUUAUUCAUAAUAUUAAAAAAUAAAUGAAAAACAUUAUCUCACAUUUGAAUGUGAAAAACGAAGAGAAAUAUUUUCUUUUUCAAUCAAAUAAUACUGAGAAAUGUCUAGCAUAAAAAAUUGAAAUAUUUUUCAUCUAGAAUUGUCUCUUAUUAAUGAUUCGGAAAUAGAAAAAUCUUGGUUAUGUUAUUAUUCUUCGUUGGUUCGUUAAAAAUGGAUAAAUAAAAACUUUGCAUACAAGAAUUAAUAAAAAUGUUAUAACGAAUUUAAUUAAAUGUUUUAUCAUUAUAUAUAAAGAAUUUAUGGCAAGAUAAAGUUAUAUACAACCUCAACUCAUAUGGGACUACCCCUGAAUUUAAGCAUAUUAAUUAGGGGAGGAAAAGAAACUAACAAGGAUUUUCUUAGUAGCGGCGAGCGAAAAGAAAACAGUUCAGCACUAAGUCACUUUGUCUAUAUGGCAAAUGUGAGAUGCAGUGUAUGGAGCGUCAAUAUUCUAGUAUGAGAAAUUAACGAUUUAAGUCCUUCUUAAAUGAGGCCAUUUACCCAUAGAGGGUGCCAGGCCCGUAUAACGUUAAUGAUUACUAGAUGAUGUUUCCAAAGAGUCGUGUUGCUUGAUAGUGCAGCACUAAGUGGGUGGUAAACUCCAUCUAAAACUAAAUAUAACCAUGAGACCGAUAGUAAACAAGUACCGUGAGGGAAAGUUGAAAAGAACUCUGAAUAGAGAGUUAAACAGUACGUGAAACUGCUUAGAGGUUAAGCCCGAUGAACCUGAAUAUCCGUUAUGGAAAAUUCAUCAUUAAAAUUGUAAUAUUUAAAUAAUAUUAUGAGAAUAGUGUGCAUUUUUUCCAUAUAAGGACAUUGUAAUCUAUUAGCAUAUACCAAAUUUAUCAUAAAAUAUAACUUAUAGUUUAUUCCAAUUAAAUUGCUUGCAUUUUAACACAGAAUAAAUGUUAUUAAUUUGAUAAAGUGCUGAUAGAUUUAUAUGAUUACAGUGCGUUAAUUUUUCGGAAUUAUAUAAUGGCAUAAUUAUCAUUGAUUUUUGUGUUUAUUAUAUGCACUUGUAUGAUUAACAAUGCGAAAGAUUCAGGAUACCUUCGGGACCCGUCUUGAAACACGGACCAAGGAGUCUAACAUAUGUGCAAGUUAUUGGGAUAUAAACCUAAUAGCGUAAUUAACUUGACUAAUAAUGGGAUUAGUUUUUUAGCUAUUUAUAGCUAAUUAACACAAUCCCGGGGCGUUCUAUAUAGUUAUGUAUAAUGUAUAUUUAUAUUAUUUAUGCCUCUAACUGGAACGUACCUUGAGCAUAUAUGCUGUGACCCGAAAGAUGGUGAACUAUACUUGAUCAGGUUGAAGUCAGGGGAAACCCUGAUGGAAGACCGAAACAGUUCUGACGUGCAAAUCGAUUGUCAGAAUUGAGUAUAGGGGCGAAAGACCAAUCGAACCAUCUAGUAGCUGGUUCCUUCCGAAGUUUCCCUCAGGAUAGCUGGUGCAUUUUAAUAUUAUAUAAAAUAAUCUUAUCUGGUAAAGCGAAUGAUUAGAGGCCUUAGGGUCGAAACGAUCUUAACCUAUUCUCAAACUUUAAAUGGGUAAGAACCUUAACUUUCUUGAUAUGAAGUUCAAGGUUAUGAUAUAAUGUGCCCAGUGGGCCACUUUUGGUAAGCAGAACUGGCGCUGUGGGAUGAACCAAACGUAAUGUUACGGUGCCCAAAUUAACAACUCAUGCAGAUACCAUGAAAGGCGUUGGUUGCUUAAAACAGCAGGACGGUGAUCAUGGAAGUCGAAAUCCGCUAAGGAGUGUGUAACAACUCACCUGCCGAAGCAACUAGCCCUUAAAAUGGAUGGCGCUUAAGUUGUAUACCUAUACAUUACCGCUAAAGUAGAUGAUUUAUAUUACUUGUGAUAUAAAUUUUGAAACUUUAGUGAGUAGGAAGGUACAAUGGUAUGCGUAGAAGUGUUUGGCGUAAGCCUGCAUGGAGCUGCCAUUGGUACAGAUCUUGGUGGUAGUAGCAAAUAAUCGAAUGAGACCUUGGAGGACUGAAGUGGAGAAGGGUUUCGUGUGAACAGUGGUUGAUCACGAGUUAGUCGGUCCUAAGUUCAAGGCGAAAGCCGAAAAUUUUCAAGUAAAACAAAAAUGCCUAACUAUAUAAACAAAGCGAAUUAUAAUACACUUGAAUAAUUUUGAACGAAAGGGAAUACGGUUCCAAUUCCGUAACCUGUUGAGUAUCCGUUUGUUAUUAAAUAUGGGCCUCGUGCUCAUCCUGGCAACAGGAACGACCAUAAAGAAGCCGUCGAGAGAUAUCGGAAGAGUUUUCUUUUCUGUUUUAUAGCCGUACUACCAUGGAAGUCUUUCGCAGAGAGAUAUGGUAGAUGGGCUAGAAGAGCAUGACAUAUACUGUUGUGUCGAUAUUUUCUCCUCGGACCUUGAAAAUUUAUGGUGGGGACACGCAAACUUCUCAACAGGCCGUACCAAUAUCCGCAGCUGGUCUCCAAGGUGAAGAGUCUCUAGUCGAUAGAAUAAUGUAGGUAAGGGAAGUCGGCAAAUUAGAUCCGUAACUUCGGGAUAAGGAUUGGCUCUGAAGAUUGAGAUAGUCGGGCUUGAUUGGGAAACAAUAACAUGGUUUAUGUGCUCGUUCUGGGUAAAUAGAGUUUCUAGCAUUUAUGUUAGUUACUUGUUCCCCGGAUAGUUUAGUUACGUAGCCAAUUGUGGAACUUUCUUGCUAAAAUUUUUAAGAAUACUAUUUGGGUUAAACCAAUUAGUUCUUAUUAAUUAUAACGAUUAUCAAUUAACAAUCAAUUCAGAACUGGCACGGACUUGGGGAAUCCGACUGUCUAAUUAAAACAAAGCAUUGUGAUGGCCCUAGCGGUGUUGACACAAUGUGAUUUCUGCCCAGUGCUCUGAAUGUCAAAGUGAAGAAAUUCAAGUAAGCGCGGGUCAACGGCGGGAGUAACUAUGACUCUCUUAAGGUAGCCAAAUGCCUCGUCAUCUAAUUAGUGACGCGCAUGAAUGGAUUAACGAGAUUCCUACUGUCCCUAUCUACUAUCUAGCGAAA
rnacentral:rRNA from 1 species